CCUACGGGAGGCAGCAGUGGGGGAUAUUGCACAAUGGGGGGAACCCUGAUGCAGCGACGCCGCGUGGGUGAAGAAGCGCCUCGGCGCGUAAAGCCCUGUCAGCAGGGAAGAAAAUGACGGUACCUGAAGAAGAAGCCCCGGCGAACUACGUGCCAGCAGCCGCGGGAAGACGGAGGGGGCAAGCGUUCUCCGGAUUGACUGGGUGGAAAGGGGGCGCAGACGGCGCUGCAAGCCCGGAGUGAAAGCCCGGGGCCCAACCCCGGGACUGCUCUUGGAACUGCGUGGCGGGAGUGCAGGAGGGGCCGGCGGAAUUCCUUGUGUAGCGGUGACAUGCGUAGAUAUCAGGCGGAACCCCGGUGGCGAAGGCGGCCUGCUGGACUGCACCUGCCGUUGAGGCCCGAACGCGUGGGGAGCAAACAGGAUUAGAUACCCCAGUAGUC
rnacentral:rRNA from 1 species